GGUCAAGCUACUAAGGGCAUGCGUGGGGAUGCCUUGGCGCAAGAAGGCGAUGAAGGACGUGGCAAGCUGCGAUAAGCCUCGGGGAGAAGCAAGCAUUCUGUGAUCCGGGGAUUUCCGAAUGGAGAAAUCCAGCCGGUGGGAACACCGGCUAUCAUACGCUGAAUUCAUAGGCGUAUGAAGCGAACCUGGGGAAGUGAACCAUCUCAGUACCCAGAGGAAGAGAAAACAACCGUGAUUCCGAGAGUAGUGGCGAGCGAAAUCGGAACAGCCUAAACCAGGCGAUUCGAAAGGAAAGUCUGGGGUUGCAGGACCACAAUAUCCUGCUUGGUGAUCGGGCUUCGGUCCGAGGGCUGAGCAGGUUAAAAGAGGUAAUGAAAGCGAUAGGAGAAUGGUCUGAAGAAAGGCCAGCCAUAGAGGGUAAUAGCCCCGUAUUCGAAAUUGCAAUCAUGCUUCAAGUGGCUCCUAAGUACCGCGGGACACGUGAAACCCUGCGGGAAUCUGCCGGGACCAUCCGGUAAGGCUAAAUACUCACUUGCGACCGAUAGUGAACUAGUACCGUGAGGGAAAGGUGAAAAGAACCCCUGUGAGGGGAGUGAAAUAGUACCUGAAACCGCAUGCCUACAAGCAGUUGGAGGGCUAUGGCCGCAAGGCAAAGCCUGACAUCGUGCCUAUUGAAUAAUGAGCUGGCUAGUUUGUGUUAGUGGCGAGGUUAAGCGAAAGCGAGCCGCAGCGAAAGCGAGUCUGAAUAGGGCGUUGAGUCGCUGGCACAAGACGCGAAGCGGGAUGAUCUACCCUUGGCCAGGAUGAAGUCGGUGUAACAGCCGAUGGAGGUCCGAACUAGUGUUGGUUGAAAACAGCUUGGAUGAGCUGAGGGUAGGGGUGAAAGGCUAAUCAAAUUCCGUGAUAGCUCGUUCUCUCCGAAAUAGCUUUAGGGCUAGCCUCGUGUGGUCCGCCCCGGUGGUAGAGAUCUGGUUGAACUAGGGGGCUUCCCAGCCUACCGAAUUCAGUCAAACUGCGAAUGCCGGGAGCGAGCAGCACGGGAGUCAGACAGUCAGGGCUAAGCUUGAUUGUCAAAAGGGGAAGAGCCCAGACCAUCAACUAAGGCCCCCAAGUACAUGCUAAGUGGGAAAGGAAGUCGGGAGGCUCAAACAGCGAGGAGGUUGGCUUAGAAGCAGCCAUCCUUUAAAGAAAGCGUAAUAGCUCACUCGUCGAGCCGCCCGGUACCGACAAUCCAACGGGGCUCAAGCAUGUCGCCGAAGUUAUGGAAGUGCGCAAGCACUUGGUAGGAGAGCGUUCCCAACGCAGUCAAGGCCGAUCGUAAGGACGGCUGGAGUGUUGGGAAGAGACUCUGCCAGCAUAAGUAGCGAUAAACGAGGUGAGAACCCUCGUCGCCGUAAGUCUAAGGUUUCCUGAGAAAGGUUAAUCCGCUCAGGGUUAGUCGGAUCCUAAGGUGAGGCCGAAAGGCGUAGCUGAUGGACACACGGUUAAUAUUCCGUGACCUCCGUAGGAGAUACCGAUGCGGGGACGCAGUUCCAAGCUCGCGAGGGGCAAUGGUUUCCACUCGUGGGGGAGGGAAGGUCUGGAUUGGCAAAUCCGCCAGGCCGUCUGCCAGGAAAAGCCGCUAAGGGCUGAAGGAGUCCGUACCACAAACCGACACAGGUGGACAUGUUGAAUAUACUCAGGCGCUCGGGUGAUUGGUUGUUCAGGAACUAGGCAAAUUAACCCCGUAACUUCGGGAGAAGGGGUGCCUCAGCAAUGAGGCCGCAGUGAAACGCGAAGGGCGACUGUUUAACAAAAACACAGGUCUCUGCAAAGUCUAAAACGACGUAUAGGGGCUGACGCCUGCCCGGUGCUGGAAGGUUAAAAGGAGGGGUUAGCGCAAGCGAAGCUCUGAAUUGAAGCCCCAGUGAACGGCGGCCGUAACUAUAACGGUCCUAAGGUAGCGAAAUUCCUUGUCGGGUAAGUUCCGACCUGCACGAAUGGCGUAACGAUCCUUCGACUGUCGUAACAACUAGCCCGGCGAACUUGUGGUUCCGGUGAAGACGCCGGAUGCCCGCCACUAGACGGAAAGACCCCGUGCACCUUUACUAUACUUUAUCAGUGAAUUAUGGGUCCAUCUGCGCAGGAUAGGUGGGAGGCUUUGAACCCAGUUUCUUGGGAUUGGGGGAGCCAACGGUGAGAUACCACCCUGAUGGUUCUGUGAUUCUAACCUAGGUCCGUUAUCCGGAUCAGGGACACUGAUAGACGGGUAGUUUGACUGGGGCGGUCGCCUCCUAAAAUGUAACGGAGGCGCGCGAAGCUUGGUUCAGGAGGUUUGGAAAUCCUCCUUCGAGUGCAUUGGCAUAAACCAGGUUGACUGCGAGACUUACAAGUCAAGCAGGUGCGAAAGCAGGCCAAAGUGAUCCGGUGGUUCUGUAUGGAAGGGCCAUCGCUCAACGGAUAAAAGGUACGCCGGGGAUAACAGGCUGAUCGGAGCCAAGAGUUCACAUCGACGCUCCGGUUUGGCACCUCGAUGUCGGUUCAUCGCAUCCUGGGGGUGUAGAAGCUCCCAAGGGUUAGGCUGUUCGCCUAUUAAAGCGGUACGUGAACUGGGUUCAGAACGUCGCGAGACAGUUCGGUCCCUAUCUGUGGUGGGCGUAGGAAAUUUGAGAGGGCUUGGCCGUAGUACGAGAGGACCCGGCUGAACAGACCUCUUGUGAUCCUGUUGUCGCGCCAGCGGCACAGCAGGGUAGCGAAGUCUGGUUAGGAUAAGCGCUGAAUGCAUAUAAGCGCGAAACCUGCCUCGAGAUGAGAUUUCCCAAGCGAAAGCUAUGAAGGGCCCUGGAAGACUACCAGGUUGAUAGGUCGGAUGUGGAAAGCAGUAAUGCGAUGAGCUUACCGAUACUAAUAGCCCGUUCGGCUUGACCAU
rnacentral:rRNA from 1 species